rnacentral:sRNA from 1 species
ACUAACUAGAAUCAGGGGCCGGGAUGACCCAGCCCUCCCGAUUGACGAACUGAAGCUCGGACAGACUAUGCGUCGGAUGGCCGUUCCCCAUCCGGCGUGAAAGUACCCAAAAAUUUCAGGCAACGACCUGAAAUACGGGUACAAGCUUCUCAUCAAUCUUCGAGGGUAGCGUAACUCGCUACCCUCAAUUUUUUCUCGGAG